CCCACGAGAUAGAACCAUCCGUACAACCGCACUGCUCCUCGAUCCCCAUCUCCAACUCGCCGGUGGCGGCGCCGCGACGCUGGCGACAGAAGCUGCGAGACCUCUUCGGAGGAGAGCGGCGAGCUGACCCUCUUAUGAAGUGGCCCAGGUGACCUCCCCUUCAUCUGACGGCGGCGCAUCGACCUCCACCUCAUCGGAAGCGAAUCAACAAACUCUUGGUCGUCAUUGGCGGCGUGGCGAGCUCGCCUCUACACAAGCAGCGCGGCGACGACCCCCUCCGUGUUCGGAAGCGGCGCGGCGAGCUCGCCCUCUUCGGCAGCUGGGGUCGACCUCCUCGUCCUCGGCGGCUCAACGCUAUUGGCCGGCGGGCUCCGUCUGCUGAUGCUGGUUGCCGUGCGCCUUGGCUACGCGGGUGGCGAGGCGCCGGUGGAAGGGACGCGGUGGGGAGAUCGCCCCGGUGGUCUACCGCGCCGGAUCUGGAGCUGUGGCCUUUCUGCGUCAAGAUCGACCCUGCCCAACCCUGGACUUGCUCUGCUGGGUUGCUGCAGUUGGAGGUGGAGCGCUGGACCGGGGGAAACCCUUGGCCGACGGGGCGGCCACGAAGUCGUCGACGCUAUUGGCGCCGAUCUCCUUCUUGAAGGCGAUUUCGAGGUGCGGCGCCCCCCGAUCCGGGGCGAGAAAACAGGGGUUUUCUUCGGAGGUGGAGCGUCUGGCAUUGUGCUUUCCUAUGGUGUUCGACGAUGGUACGAGUCCUAUGUGGCGUGCUCCCAGAAUCUCACUUCCUCUUCAGUCAGAUCGCAGCGCGGAACAAUGGCGUCGUAGAUCAAGCUUUGCUUCAAUGUCUUUUUCUUUUUAGUGCUUGUUCUUCGUCUCCUGUAAGCUGUCUUUCAGCAUUUUGUAAACUCUGGCCGUUGUGGGCUUUAUUAAUUUAAAGUCGGGCUCGUGGAGCCUUGAAUCUAAAAAAAAACGCUAUUGGUCGGCGAACAGCUGAGCUCGCUAUCUUCAGAAGCAGCAGUGUGACCUCCUCCUCUCCGGCAAAUGGUGGUCUCGCUGUGUAGAUUGCAAGAAGCAGCAUCUCGUGAGAUCACUUGUCAGAAGCAUCAGCUUUUGGUCUCAUUUGUGUGAAUUUGAACUAUCAAAUGUAUGAGAAAUUGCAAAUGCUGCAGCUUGUAGCUUUGUUCUGCUAAAAUAAAGUGACAUGAUGUAUGCUGUGAUCAUGAAUAAGAAACAUGUUUGAUUGGCAAA